rnacentral:rRNA from 1 species
GAUGAACGCUGGCGGCGUGCCUAAUACAUGCAAGUCGAGCGAACGGACGAGAAGCUUGCUUCUCUGAUGUUAGCAGCGGACGGGUGAGUAACACGUGGAUAACCUACCUAUAAGACUGGGAUAACUUCGGGAAACCGGAGCUAAUACCGGAUGAUAUUUUGAACCGCAUGGUUCAAAAGUGAAAGACGGUCUUGCUGUCACUUAUAGAUGGAUCCGCGCUGCAUUAGCUAGUUGGUAAGGUAACGGCUUACCAAGGCAACGAUGCAUAGCCGACCUGAGAGGGUGAUCGGCCACACUGGAACUGAGACACGGUCCAGGCUCCUACGGGAGGCAGCAGUAGGGAAUCUUCCGCAAUGGGCGAAAGCCUGACGGAGCAACGCCGCGUGAGUGAUGAAGGUCUUCGGAUCGUAAAACUCUGUUAUUAGGGAAGAACAUAUGUGUAAGUAACUGUGCACAUCUUGACGGUACCUAAUCAGAAAGCCACGGCUAACUACGUG